rnacentral:rRNA from 1 species
GACGAACCGUCCAAACGUUAUUCGGAAUCACUGGGCUUACAGAGUUCGUAGGCGGUCUGGAAAGUUGGGUGUGAAGUCCCUCGGCUCAACCGAGGAACUGCGCUUGAAACUACCAGACUCGAGGGAGAUAGAGGAAAGCGGAACUGAUGGUGGAGCGGUGAAAUGCGUUGAUAUCAUCAGGAACACCGGUGGCGAAGGCGGCUUUCUGGGUCUUACCUGACGCUGAGGAACGAAAGCUAGGGGAGCGAACGGG